CUCAGUUUACUUCAGUGUGGAGCGCACAAAGCCCGACGCGUGUGGAAAAGAGGCUGACAAUGAAACCAAGCUCACGUUCAGCACCGUGUCUGGCCAUGAUGACACUUCACUUUAAUGCGCAACGAGCUCUGAAGGCUUCCUGCGAUCAAUCCCCUGCUUGUGUCACUCUGACUCACUGUCUACAUUUGCCGUGUCCUGUUCACCUCAUGGAGCUUAAGAGGUUUAUUUAUCAUGGUCAGCUGUAGAAUGAAAUCACCUUGUUCACUCUUAGUAAUCAAAGCAAAUUUACUAGUACAGCAAAAAUAGAUUUUUGAUGCUUGAUGCUGAGCUGUUUGCAGUGAAGUGCCACGUGUUGAAAUAAUAACAUAUUGGAGCACAAAGAGGACAUUUACAAGGAACAGUUUAGGCCUGAAAAAUGAUCAGUGUAAAAACGGGAAAGACCAGGAGAAGGUUUUUGGUUUAUCUGUUUUUUAGGAUGGGCGUAGGUGAAGGGAUUAGCACCUUUGGGCCCCGGGUUUGAAUCUGAGUGGAGUUUACAUAUUUUCCCCAUGUCUGUGCUGGUUCAAACUGUUCUUCCUCCCACAGUUCAAAAGCAUGUCGGUUAGGUUAACUGGUGAUUCCAAAUAGACUAUGAGUGUGAAUGGUUGUGUUUCUCGGCCCUGAAAUGGAUUGGCAACCUAUCCAGGGUAUAACCUGCUUCUGGCUUUAUGACAGCUAAAAUAAAGUGUAAAAAAACAA